UGGGGAAUAUUGGACAAUGGGCGCAAGCCUGAUCCAGCCAUGCCGCGUGUGUGAAGAAGGCCUUAGGGUUGUAAAGCACUUUCAGUGGGGAGGAAGGGUGUUGUGUUAAUAGCACAGCAUUUUGACGUUACCCACAGAAGAAGCACCGGCUAACUCCGUGCCAGCAGCCGCGGUAAUACGGAGGGUGCAAGCGUUAAUCGGAAUUACUGGGCGUAAAGCGCACGCAGGCGGCUUUUUAAGUCGGAUGUGAAAGCCCCGGGCUCAACCUGGGAAUUGCAUUUGAUACUGGGAAGCUAGAGUAUGUGAGAGGGGGGUAGAAUUCCAAGUGUAGCGGUGAAAUGCGUAGAGAUUUGGAGGGAUACCAGUGGCGAAGGCGGCCCCCCUGGCACAAUACUGACGCUCAGGUGCGAAAGCGUGGGGAGCAAAACAGGAUUAGAUACCCUGGUAGUCCACGCCGUAAACGAUGUCUACUAGAUGUUCGUGGUCUUGUACCGUGAGUAUCGCAGCUAACGCAUUAAGUAGACCGCCUGGGGAGUACGGUCGCAAGAUUAAAACUCAAAUG
rnacentral:rRNA from 1 species